rnacentral:rRNA from 1 species
UUGUUGGUAAGGUAAAAGCUUACCAAGGCUUCGAUCAGUAGCUGGUCUGAGAGGACGACCAGCCACACUGGGACUGAGACACGGCCCAGACUCCUACGGGAGGCAGCAGUGGGGAAUUUUGGACAAUGGGGGCAACCCUGAUCCAGCCAUGCCGCGUGAGUGAAGAAGGCCUUCGGGUUGUAAAGCUCUUUCAGCCGGAACGAAACGGUUACGGAUAACACCCGUGACUACUGACGGUACCGGAAGAAGAAGCACCGGCUAACUACGUGCCAGCAGCCGCGGUAAUACGUAGGGUGCGAGCGUUAAUUGGAAUUACUGGGCGUAAAGCGUGCGCAGGUGGUUUUGUAAGUCAGAUGUGAAAGCCCCGGGCUCAACCUGGGAACUGCGUUUGAAACUACAAGACUAGAGUGUGGCAGAGGGGGGGUGGAAUUCCGCGUGUAGCAGUGAAAUGCGUAGAGAUGUGGAGGAACACCGAUGGCGAAGGCAGCCCCCUGGGCCAACACUGACGCUCAGGCACGAAAGCAUGGGGAGCAAACAGGGUUAGAUACCCUGGUAGUCCAUGCCCUAAACGAUGUCAACUAGUUGUCGGGCCUUUACGGGCUUGGUAACGUAGCUAACGCGUGAAGUUGACCGCCUGGGGAGUACGAUCGCAAGAUUAAAACUCAAAUGAAUUGACGGGGACCCGCACAAGCGGUGGAUUAUGUGGAUUAAUUCGAUGCAACGCGAAAAACCUUACCUACCCUUGACAUGUAUCGAAGCCCGCAGAAAAGCGGGGGUGCCCGAAAGGGAACGAUAACACAGGUGCUGCAUGGCUGUCGUCAGCUCGUGUCGUGAGAUGUUGGGUUAAGUCCCGCAACGAGCGCAACCCUUGUCAUUAAUUGCCAUCAUUUAGUUGGGCACUUUAAUGAGACUGCCGG